UACGUAGGUGGCAAGCGUUGUCCGGAAUUAUUGGGCGUAAAGCGCGCGCAGGCGGUCCUUUAAGUCUGAUGUGAAAGCCCACGGCUCAACCGUGGAGGGUCAUUGGAAACUGGGGGACUUGAGUGCAGAAGAGGAAAGCGGAAUUCCACGUGUAGCGGUGAAAUGCGUAGAGAUGUGGAGGAACACCAGUGGCGAAGGCGGCUUUCUGGUCUGUAACUGACGCUAAGGCGCGAAAGCGUGGGGAGCAAACAGG
rnacentral:rRNA from 1 species